UACAGUUGAAUUCAGCUUAUAAAUUACCAAAUGCUAAAACUAAUUCCCAAAAUACUCGGGGUUGCACAAAUUAAUGUGUUACACAAAUUAAAUGCCGUGCAGCAAUCAAUGUCGAAUUCUUAAAAAUAAAACUAUCUUUUGAAGUGGGCUAUAAAAUGUAGGUUACAUAUUACAAAUUGGAAAAGAAAGAAAUUUAGUUAAACUAUUGUGUUAUUUCUUGAGUAUUGAUUUCUGUGCGUUUAGCUCCCACCCGAGUACAAACUGCUGCCCAACCUUAAUCUCUAAUCGAGACAGUCCAUCACUCUAACCAGCAAUUGAGUGCCUUUUAAAGUAAACUUUAAAUUCGAUCCAUUUAUUUUCGCUAGUGACUUAAGACAAAUAAUACCUGAGAUGACUCACCUAGAGACUUGAAUAAACAACAACACGAGGAAAAGGCAAUAAAUGUGCCAUAGAAGACACCUGGCGCUGGCUGCAUCCGCAAGCUAACCGAACCGAAGCCAAGACAAAUGUGUUGUAAAUAACGCGUAUCAAAGUGUUGUGACAACGCCAACGGCAGCCCAAGCUGGGUAAGUGGAACACCCUUUGGGCAAGCAGAUGGAAGAAGCAACACAGAAGAAGCUGGCAACGAACGAUCUGAAGGCAACAACUCAACAAAACGGAAAUACAAAUAAAAUAUGUUGCACACUUUGCCACGCACAGUUGCACCCAGAACUGGAGAGCGGCAACAAAAUGAAAAGUAAAGGACUCCAAAUAUAAGUAGAUUGGACGAACAACAAAGACAACCAAACAGCUCAUGUUAUGCAAUUUACGUGUGCAUUCAGCAGCAGCAACAACAACAAAAACUACCAAUACGUCGAGCACUUUGUCACUUUGCCAUUGCCCGGAGACGAGCCGGAAAUGCUGCAAACGAACCAGAGCCAAGUGCAACGGUCAGUGAGUGCAUCAUGGCCAUCGACAGCGGAGCCACUGACCUGGCCAGUAUCCGCAUUCAAUAUGCCAUUCGCAACACAAAGAACAACAAAUAACAAACAAAAAAAGCAGCGAAGCGUUCAACAUGCUGGAAUCAUCAUUAAAAAACAAGUCAAAAUGCGGAGUGCAACACAACACGACUUUGAGAUAUCCUGUAGCCGGGGACAAGGCUCAGUAACAGACAUUGGAUAUAAACAUGCACACAUACUCGAAUGUUGCGCAGCUUAUGAGGUACCUCUUCUUCACUUAGCUCUAAGGGGACGGCAUUCUUUAGGAACUUCGUUGUUUGUUGUCCCAACUUUGUGCAAUUUUCAGCAAAUAUCCUUAAGAUCAAAGCUUGGCUAGCUUGAGGAGCGGGAGAAACGGGUGAGCUAUCAAAAACCUAAUUAUUCUUUAUUAAAGAAACAAGAAAUUCAAAUUUAACUCUUAGUCUCCGAUUUCGACUAAAAACUUUUUGAGACCAGAAGCCCGAGAAGUCCAUUGUCUAGGCAUUCUCUACGACAAUCCAUUUUUAAAAUAUAAAAUCUCUAGCUCUAAGAUUUCUAUAUCAACAUGCUCUUGCUGUUGAUGAUAGUUGUCUUGAUUAAAAAUAUAUAUCGAAGUAUAAAUAUAUAACUUCUUGGGUCGGAGAUGCAUCCUUCUGCCUAUUACAUACAUUUGCCCAAAAACAUCAUACCCUCUUUGCCCAUUUUCAUUGGGUACAGGGUACAACAAGCGAAGGACGACAACUUGCUUUAUGACAUUUUCACUGACAGCAAUUGCAGCAGCCACGACCGAUGUCCAAUGGUUACUGGAAAUUGAUAUAGCAUAUUCAAGGGAAAACCGAAAUGGAAAAUGAAAAAAAAAAAAGGGAACUUGAUUAUAAAUUAAACCAGCAGGCAGGUAUAUUAUGCAACUUCUAAGCUCGUAUAUUUCGAUUAUAUAUAUUUUCUAGUUUGUGUUUUUGUUGUUGUUGUUGUUGUUAUUUUUUGUUCAGCUUCUAAUAUAUGCGCCAUCUUCUA